rnacentral:lncRNA from 1 species
AGUUUCACAUGUUUUAACUCUGUCAGAGCACUUUGAAAAAGUGGUCUGUGGUAUCUGGCUCUCGAGAUUCGGAGAACGAUGCCUUUUCGAUUUUUGAGAAAGCAAUCAUGCUGGGGGUCUGGCUCUCGAGAUUCGGAGAGCAGUGUCUCUUCGAUUUUUGAGGAAGUAAUCAUGUUGGGAGUCUGGCUCUCGAGAUUCGGAAGGGCGGUGCCUCUUCGAUUUUGGAGCAAGCAAUCCUGUUGGGAGUGUUGUCUCGAAUGUGAGUAAAGGUUGGGCAUGUUUGCUAGUCUACCUUGCCACGAAGCACAAAGGUUGACACACAGGAACUUUCCAAUUAUCCAGCAAUGGUACUGUUCCUUUACCCUCUCUUCGCUUUUGAGAAAGUAGUCAUGUUGGGAGUCUGGCUCUCGAGAUUCGGAGGACGGUGCUCUUCGAUUUUGGAGCAAGCAAUCUUGUUGGGAGUGUUUUCUCGAAAUGUGAGUAAAGGUUGGGCAUGUUUGCUAGUCUACCUUGCCACGAAGCACAGAGGUUGACACACAGGGACUUUCCAAUUAUCCAGCAGUGGUACUGUUCCUUUACCCUUGUGGGUAAUAAUAUGGUAGCUAGACCUUCAAAAUUUAUGUGUCUAAACUUUGUUAGUGCUGUUUCUUUGCUAUUCUUUUUACCUUUCUUGGUCAGAGCGAUGUAGUGGGAGCUGCAAGCUUCACGUGCUCAACUUUGGCAGAGAACUUUGGCAAAGUUAUCUGUGGUACCCAUGAGCUAUUGUUGCGUGUGGGAAGUGGGUGAUUGAACAGUAAGAUUCAUGUGCUUUCUACUUCACCAGAAGUCUUCGACAGAAUGCCCAUAAUUUCUGCAAAAGCUGAGUGUGCGUGUGACAGGUGCUGACAAGGCUAGAAAAGUAGGUGCCUCUUCGAUUUCUGAGAUCGGCCCUCGUGGUCUCUGAGCAGCCCAGCUUUUGAGAAAGCGAGCGCCUCUUCGAUUGAUUCGGAGAACGAUGCCUCAUCGAUUUUUGAGAAAGCAAUCAUGCUGGGGGUCUGGCUCUCGAAGAUUCGGGGAGCAGUGUCUCUUCGAUUUUUGAGAAAGUAAUCAUGUUGGGAGUCUGGCUCUCGAGAUUCGGAGGGCGGUGCCUCUUCGAUUUUGGAGCAAGCAAUCUUGUUGGAAGUGUUUUCUCGAAUGUGAGUAAAGGUUGGGCAUGUUUGCUAGUCUACCUUGCCACGAAGCACAGAGGUUGACACACAGGGACUUUCCAAUUAUCCAGCAAUGGUACUGUUCCUUUACCCUCUCUUCGAUUU